UACGGGGGGGGCAAGCGUUGUUCGGAAUUACUGGGCGUAAAGGGCUUGUAGGUGGCCAACUAAGUCCGACGUGAAAUCCCUAGGCUUAACCUAGGAACUGCGUCUGAUACUGGCGAGCUUGAGUGCAGGAGAGGAACGCGGAAUUCCAGGUGUAGCGGUGAAAUGCGUAGAUAUCUGGAGGAACACCGGUGGCGAAGGCGGCGUUCUGGACUGCAACUGACACUGAGAGACGAAAGCCAGGGGAGCAAACGGG
rnacentral:rRNA from 1 species